ACGGUGAGGGAUGAAAGCUGGGGGAGCAAACCGGAUUAGAUACCCGGGUAGUCCCAGCUGUAAACGAUGCAGACUCGGUGAUGGGUUGGCUUCGAGCCAACCCAGUGCCGCAGGAAGCCGUUAAGUCUGCCGCCUGGGGAGUACGGUCGCAGACUGAACUAAGAUGCGGGGAGCACACAAGGGGGAGCCGCGGUUCAAUUGGAAU
rnacentral:rRNA from 1 species